AUAGCGUAUAUUAAAGUUGUUGCAGUUAAAAAGCUCGUAGUUGAAUUUUGGGUUUGAUUAGGUGGUCUUUACGUAUGUAAUGUACUACUUUGAUCGAAUCUUUCCUUCUAGCGAACUAUAGUGUUAUUAAUUUAAUGCUAUAGGGAACUAGGACUUUUACUUUGAAAAAAUUAGAGUGUUUAAAGCAGGCUUACGCUUGAAUACAUUAGCAUGGAAUAAUAAAAUAGGACUUUGGUUUUAUUUUGUUGGUUUCUAAGACCGAAGUAAUGAUUAAUAGGGUCAGUUGGGGGCAUUAGUAUUUAAUCGUCAGAGGUGAAAUUCUUGGAUUGAUUAAAGACUAACUCCUG
rnacentral:rRNA from 1 species